UACGAAGGGGGCUAGCGUUGCUCGGAAUCACUGGGCGUAAAGGGUGCGUAGGCGGGUUUUUAAGUCAGAGGUGAAAUCCUGGAGCUCAACUCCAGAACUGCCUUUGAUACUGGAAAGUCUUGAGUAUGGGAGAGGUGAGUGGAACUGCGAGUGUAGAGGUGAAAUUCGUAGAUAUUCGCAAGAACACCAGUGGCGAAGGCGGCUCACUGGCCCCGGUACUGACGCUGAGGUGCGAAAGCGUGGGGAGCAACAGG
rnacentral:rRNA from 1 species